AAGCAGUCAUAUGUGCUGUUCAAUCAGCUUAUCCUCUCCCUCUGGCCAUGGUGACUCAAGAUGAGCCUAUGAAACAGCUUCCCAAGAUGGUCUGCCACAACUGCUAAGGAGAGGGCAAGUUUUACUUUUUCCACAGAGAGUGUUAAGCUGGUAAGAUGUAUCUUGAGCCCAGUAUCCCUCCUACCUGCUAGAUCCAGACAUUCCAGAAUUUUCAGUUAUGUUUAUGCUGACUUAAGGUGAGCUUCUAUCACUAGUGAAUGAACAGACACAACUGACACACCACACUAUACAGUAUUGGUUCUAGGAACGAGGUAUGGCCUAAAAAGAUUUCCAAACUCGAUGAAGAUGCCAGUAACUAAUGGCAGAUGGUGACCUAGCCAUGUCCUGUGAGAAUUUGUGGAACUGAGCAUGCAGCUCAAUAAAAUUCACCUUCCUAGCUUCUAAUGUUUUCUGUUCUCUGGACAGCAAGACAUACAGGAAUUCCUGAAAAAAGAACCCUGGCAUCCCAGAGGAUAUUGGUGUUCGUAUAGUUCAAUUUCCCAUUUAAUUGGGAAUUGCCUUUUCACUACCACUAACAAGCUGUCACCUGUCUUUGCUUGCACACUUUUUAUGACAGUUGCUGCCUUUGCAGGAUCCCAUUGGCACUGUCUGCAUUAAAGGCAGUACUAAGUUGCUAACUCACAUAAAAAUUAUAAAUUGGAUACUUGAACCCCACUUUCAGAACCUUUUGUCUUCUCUUCUGAAUUAAAAAAAAAAAAAACUAAAUAUGCCUUAAAGUUUCAAUGCUUCUUUAACCUCAAUACAGAAACAUUUUAUGAUACAGCAAUAAAAACAUAAAAAAUAAAUCCUUGCCAUGAACCUGUGCUACCUCAGCUCCUGCCUUGGCUUUCUUUUUCCAUAAUAUUCUGGAAAAGAUGAUCAUAUGCUUGGUUUUACUUCCUCAGUUCCUGGUAACUUUGGGGACAAUUGAGUCUCUAUCCCACAACAUCCCUGAAACCAUGA
rnacentral:lncRNA from 1 species